UACGUAGGGCGCAAGCGUUAUCCGGAAUUAUUGGGCGUAAAGAGCUCGUAGGCGGUUUGUCGCGUCUGCCGUGAAAACUCGGGGCUUAACUCCGGGCCUGCAGUGGGUACGGGCAGACUAGAGUGCGGUAGGGGAGACUGGAAUUCCUGGUGUAGCGGUGAAAUGCGCAGAUAUCAGGAGGAACACCGAUGGCGAAGGCGGGUCUCUGGGCCGUAACUGACGCUGAGGAGCGAAAGCGUGGGGAGCGAACAGG
rnacentral:rRNA from 1 species